GAUGAACGCUGGCGGCAGGCCUAACACAUGCAAGUCGAGGGAGAAGCCCUUGCGGGGGCGGAAACCGGCGCACGGGUGCGUGACGCGUAUGCAACCUACCUUUCACAGGGGGAUAGCCCGAAGAUAUUUGGACUAAUACCCCAUAAUAUUAUUGGAUGGCAUCAUUUGAUAAUUAAAACUGCGGUGGUGCAAGAUGGGCAUGCGUCCUAUUAGCUAGGUGGGGUGGUAACGGCAGCCCAAGGCUACGAUAGGUAGGGGUCCUGAGAGGGAGAUCCCCCACACUGGUACUGGGCCAGGUACCAGAGUCCUACGGGAGGGAGCAGUGAGGAAUAUUGGUGAAUGGUCGGAAGACUGAACCAGCCAUGCCGGGUGCAGGAAGAAUGCCUUAGGGAUUGUAACCUGCUUUUAGAUGGGAAGAAUAAGGCGUACGUGUACGUUGAUGACGGUACCGUAUGAAUAAGCACCGGCUAACUCCGUG
rnacentral:rRNA from 1 species